GACUCUCGCAACGGAUAUCUCGGCUCACGCACGAUGAAGAACGUAGCAAAAUGCGAUACUUGGAAUUGCAGAAUCCCGAACCAUCGAGUUUUUGAACGCAAGUUGCGCCCGAAGCAUUCGUUGAGGGCACGUAUGCCUGGGCGUCA
rnacentral:rRNA from 11 species